UCAUUUAAUUGCAACUUUUACAGACGUCAUGUCGUCGAAUUUACAAAAACAAUAUUUUCUUGUAAUUACUAUUUUAUUUAUUAAUAUUUUUAGAGGAGCAGCAGCGACAAAGUGUUCGUACGGCGAUGUGGUUCUUUGCGGAAGUAACGGUUUCACUUAUAAUCUUUGCGAUUUUCAAACGGCCCAAGCUGUCCGACCAAACCUGAAAUUGAAAUAUUUAGGUGCUUGCCAAAUAGAAGACUCAUUGAAAUCUUUAUUAAACCGUUUAGAUAAAACUAACUUAAGGAACAGAAAACAUCAACAAGUCCGUAAAAUAAAGAAGCCAACUAAACUAGUAUCAGAACUGUUACAACACAUCAUAAAUUCACGAACUAAAUUGAGUAGCUUCCACAAUAUUGGUAAACAUAAUAUAUGAUACAUACUGAACUGGAUGACCAAAACAGACGCAUUUCAAUUCCUACAAAAAAUAUUCAAUAAAUUAUAAAGAAAAUGUA